AUACGGAGGAUGCAAGCGUUGUCCGGAUUUAUUGGGUUUAAAGGGUGUGUAGGCGGUGUAUUAAGUCAGUGGUGAAAGCCUGCGGCUCAACCGUAGAACUGCCAUUGAUACUGACACACUUGAGUAUGGACGAGGUAGGCGGAAUUUAUGGUGUAGCGGUGAAAUGCAUAGAUACCAUAAAGAACACCGAUAGCGAAGGCAGCUUACUAGGCCAUAACUGACGCUGAGGCACGAAAGCGUGGGGAGCGAACAGGAUUAGAAACCCGGGUAGUCC
rnacentral:rRNA from 1 species